rnacentral:lncRNA from 1 species
AUUUGACUAAGAUCUCACGGAUGGCAACACUCAAUUAUCUCAUACCACAUAUCUCGAUACACGUCAAUCAGUCUACAUCGUAUUCAUGCCAUAGGCCAUAUAUAGCUAACAUGAGCAGAUAAGUAGGUGCGGCCGGGCGUGAGCACUCCCUUCUACCGUGCGUCGGCAUGCUCAUCCACGGUCACCCAGAUGAUGCUCAGCUUAGUGAGGAAGUGGCACACUGCCACAUCACCUGGCCUAACGUUGUGCAGCUCAAAGAACGAGUUCUUCGGGCUCCACAAUGACGUGUCAAGGUGGCACACGGCCAUGACCUCCAUCGUCGUCGGAGAUGCACCCUCCUCCACACUCGCCAGCGUCACCAUGUACGCAGACGUAGGCCUGGACGUGUGGCAGUAGUACACUGAGUACGGGUAGGUCAGGUCAUGGCAGGUCACGACCUCAGAUGAUGAACCGGAGAGCUUCCGUGCAGCCGUCACGUUGUACCUCCCCCUAAGCGCCGGUGUCCCCGGGCCAUCCAUGGGCAGAUCCACGGCGGAGAACGCACGGACGUUGCCCCUCCCAAGGAGGGACGCCGGCAGCUCGACGAGGGACUCCAAGGAGGUGGCGCAGCCUGCUUUCUGGCCGGGGAGCGUUCGUGGGUGCUCGCAAGUGUCCAGCGUCCACCGUAUCUCUCUGGUCAUCGUGAGUGACGCCGGCGCGAACAUCGUGAUGAUGUCGGAGAGGUGUUCCGUGGAGAAUGGGAUGGAGUCGGCGACGUCACCGGAGAGAAGCGCCGGCAUGGAGGCGGUCGGCGGGAUGGUCGGAGUGAUCAAGGACCCUGGCCUCAACAUGUCGUGGAAGAAAAAGACAUCCGCCUCUUUCUUGUUCUUGUAGCUGUGAGCGUGAACAUGGUGGCUCCCCUCUCCUUUUACUGCAACAGGUACAAUGGCAAAAACUCAAUUGAGAGGUUGUAUGUAAUAAAAUAAUGAACUCUACUUCCUUGUAAAAAAAUGAUAUUCACCUUGAUUCAGAACGUCGGCUUGUUCAUCUUUCUCUUCAACUGACCCAUAUGACAUACUGACUUCCUUUGAAUUUUCUUCGUGUGAUGUGGAGCCUUCCUUUAGAAUCUCCUGGCCGUCUACACCAUAAGACACUGAGAUUUCUUUUAAAUCCCUUUCACCUUUUAACCCGUAGGAUCCUGAUGCUUCCUUGCGAAUUUCUUGGUCCUUUGAUCCAUAUGUUACCGAUAUUUCCUUUCGAUUUUCAUGGCCGUCUGCACCAUAAGACAUUGAGAUUUCUUUUAACUCCUUUUCACCUUCUAACUCAUACGAUCCUGAGUGUUCCUUCAGAGUUUCUUGAUCUUUUGAUCUGUAUGACACAGAUAUUUCCUUCAGAUUUUCACGGUCAUCAACACCAUAAGACACUGAGAUUUCUUUUAAAUCCUUUUGACCUCUUAUAAGACGUUUUAGAAAGUGUAGUUCAAAUCUCGGCACGUUAAGAAAAUUCGGUCGUUUCCAUUUUUGCCCCUGCGCUCACUCACUCACCCGCACUCACCCAUUCCCCUCUCGCACUCACUCGCCCACGUCGACGUCUCCCUGCCCGAAUCCGGCGCGGUGGCGACGCGCCUCACUCUCCGGCGUGGUGGCGACGCUCCUCCCUCUCGCCCGCGUCGACACCUCCCUCUCGCCCACGUCGACACCUCCCUCUCGGCCGCUUCGCAGCCUCCCUUCUCCUCUUGUCGCCGCCUCUCCCUCUCCUCGCCCGCGUUGUCUAGCCAAAAUUGUUUUUUUAGUGAGGUCAGGAUGAGCGGGAGGAGCGCGUUCGUCCCCCGCGCCGACGUCAGCGUCGAGGAAUAAGCAGGUGGAGGGCAUGGCGGAGCGCCGCCGCCGCAAGCACCUCAAUGACCUUCGCUCCGUCUUACUCCAAGAUCUAGAAGGUAAAAAAUGCAACUCUUUUUCAUUUUUACCACGCCAGAUGGAGCAAUCUUGGGAGUAAAUCAAGAUGAGCGUGUCUUCUUGGUGCGAAUUUGAUUUUGGGCACCUGGAUUGACUACAUCCGCAUCUGCAUCCAAGGUCACACAUUGCCGCCAAUGGAGCAGAGCAAAAGGAGGAGGGCGACACCCAGGGAGAGGGGCGGUAGGAACACGAGCGAGCGGCUGUUUUAGAUGAGGAGGAGCGGAGGCAGCGAUGACAUGGUGCAGGCGACCUUCCAUCUGUUGCUGACCAGUGGAGGAGGAGCAGGAGGACGUCGGCGCCGUCAGUGAGCACUCCUCUCUGUAGAUCUGAUUGCUUGCCGCAUGCUUGUUGAGUAUUGCAAACUUGCUCCUCACUGAUGAUGAUGACACAAAGAUCUAACUGAAUUUCUCGCAUGCCUAGUCAUGAAUCUUGAUUAUGUCAAUGUUCACAGGAAUGUGGAGAACAAUCAAUUUGCAGGAUCAAUCCCAGAGAAGAUGCUCAGCGUCCCUAAAUUAGUGCAGAAGACAGGACAACCACGUAACCAUUCAAUUUCUGCAUAAGAAAGGACAACCAUUUAACCAUUCUGAUCCACGGUUCCUCUCCGACGACAGUGAGUUGCUGUUUGUACUCCAUGUUCUUUUGCUUGUACUGCUAGUGGUUAUGCUUGUGCUGCUAUAUCUUCUGGUGCUGCUAGAUUAAUAUGAGUAGGAGUAGAGUACAUGCAGUAGUUAGAGUGCUUGCUCAGAGUAGGAUUUUUGUUAGGAGCAAUUAGAGUACUCUACUGGAAGUCUGAAAGUACUCCUUGUAAGAGUAGUUUUUUUAGAAAAGGAGGAUGACACCGGCCUCUGCAUCUAGGAGAGUGAGGCGUAUAAUCCAUUUCCACAAACAACUUUAAAACAAUAUAAUCCAUUUCGACAAAAAAGACUCCAUGGAUGCAUUUCCACAAACAAGUCUCAUCAUAGCACUACAAGUCUCAACAUACUCCACUGCAUGCUCAGUCGACAUCUUGUCCUAGAAUCUCCAUGGCAUUAUCAUAAACUUCACGAGGGAAAUGUAUCAUAGGCGGUAGCAUUCCUUGCCUUUCCAAUCUCUCCUUCCGCAAAUGUGGAAUUUUAUACGAGUUUCCUCCUCGAUAGUUCGUCACUUCAACCAUGAUGGUCUGAAGUGUUAGAAAUAUUCGGUUGAGUUUGUCGACAUCAUACUCAUCGAACUAUUCCUGCACACCUUGAAUCAGUUCUUUGAUAGUCGUAGGGGCUCUGCAGUCGGUCAAAGACUCAAGGGAUCUGAAAUAUCCAAGAUCAAGUGCAUUCAGAUCUGGAGAAUUUGGAGGUUGUUGUAUUAUUCUAAUGUCGAGACCAGUUGUAGCCACAGCUUCUGCAAACUCUGCAUCACCGGGAAGAAUAUGUGUCUUCGCGUUGUCCUGUUGGAUCAAUAUUGGGCCAAUAUCAUCUGUGGGCCACACUUCUUUUAUUCCCGGAACCACUUUCUCUAUCAUAUACUGCCGCAUUACGUGUCGGUUCACAGUGACGUUCUUGAUUUCCAUGGUCCCUCUUGCUCUAUUUUCACUUCUUCUAGCAGCUGGAAUCUCUUGGACGAAAGGCCAGACACCAAUUUUUCCUGAGAAUGUUACAUUGCCUUCAGCAUCAUAUCUGGGUCGAGCAACAGCGGUCAGGAACAUUACUUUGCCAAUACAGUUCUUGUUCCGAAUGGUUCUGACCGGGUCAUCUUCAUGAGGGAGGAGGUAGUAGUUUCUGUUCAUUUUUGUCAUAUAGAACCACUUUUCGUCAAUAUGCACAAUGUUGUGCAUACUGAUGAAUUUAGGUCUUGUAGCUGCUAAAGUUGUCUCAUCAAGCAUCGACAUACAAAACUUGAUUCUUUCUCUUUUAUUCUUUUCUUUCAAGCUUGGCUUCAAACGAUUCGAGUGCCUCCUAAUCUUGUGAAGCUUGAGUUUCUGGUAGAGUGUAGUAUGACUGACACCCAAUGCGCGAGCAAGUGACCUGAGAGUCGGCCUUCUAUUCAAUGGAACUGUGGGGAUUUGAGAUAGGACAUUAUCCUUUCCUUUCCUUCCACAUCUUCUUUUCUUUUGGUUGGACACAUCCACCUCCUUACCAAGCUUUUUUUGUCGCUCUGCUGUCCUCCAGAUUCUCUGAAUAACUUGAAUAUCAGCUUGAAAAAUUUGAGCAACAUCCUUCUUGUCAGUUCUUUUGAACUUGCCACCCCUACUCAUAUUCAGCGUAAGCAUUGCCAUGUAAGCAGCAUAUCUCUGCUCAUCUGUUAGUGACUUUCUUUGCCUUCGUAUUUGCUGAACACCUACAGCAACAAAAGAAAAAUAGGAAAAUUAGGGAAAUUGUGUUAGAAUAAGAAAACUGAAAAUUACUCUUAUUUGAAGCACUAGGAGUAGGCAUAUGCAAAUUUCAGCAAGUUAAAUGAAUUUGAGCAAGUUAAACUUGUUGUUAAACAUAUGUUAAGUUCUAUGAACAUAUAUUCAGUUUUCAUGAACAUUUUGGAGUAUGUGUAUAGUAUGUGUAGAUGAACAUAUAUUCAGUUUUCAUGAACACUUUAGAGUAUGUUAAACCUGAUAUUUGUAUAGCAUCGGCUAGUGCAUACUCAAAAACACCAAAUCUUGUUAACAACAAGCAAAGGAAUUGCUAUUAAAGCACUAGGAGUAGGAUGCCUAUGCAUAUGCCAACAUCCGGUGCACAACUAAAAGCAGAUGUACUUCUAUACAAGGAGUAUGUGUAUGUAGUACCUGUUGCUUAUUUUUGGACAUUUAAUGUUUCUUCUUGGACAUCUGCUACUUCUUCUUCUUGGACCAUAUUCACAUCAGCUUCUUCUUCUCCUGAAGGUGGUGAGCAGUUCAGGUCUGGGAGCAUUUUGUGCUGCUGCUGCUAUGUUCCGGUACUGUUGAUGUGAUACUGCUUCUCCUCUUGCUACUGAUCCUGUGCUGUUGCUCCACUUGCUACUGUUGUUGUGCUGGUGCUGCUCUUGCUGAUAAUGCUGCUAAUAAUGCCGCCUGCUAUUGAUACUGCUGAUAAUGCUGUUGUUGUUGCUGGUCCUCUUGAUCAACUGCUCCUCUUGAUCAGCUGUUGUGUUAAUGAUGCUCUUAAUGCUUUUGUUGUCCUAAUCCUGAGCUAUCGAUCUCUUGAUGUGGAGUAAUUUGAAGAUCUCUUUUGUUGUCCUACUCCUGUACUCUUGAUCUUGAUCUGGAGCACACCUGAUUCCUUGAUCUGGAGUAAUUUGAAGAUCUCCUGAUCUGGUGUUGUGCUAUGAUGAGAAAUUAUUGCUACUGUGAUUUAUUGCUGCUCUCGAAGCUACUCCUCUUGAUCUUAUACUCCACUGUCAAGCACAUGGAUCUUGUACUCCACUAUAGUGGAAUUGAUUUUGAUCUCGUAUCUUGCUAAUGUAUUGCUUCUCCUUGCUCUGGGCGACGCGAGGAGUACCUGGGCGAGGAGCACCUGGGCGCGAGGAUGAGGGCUAGGGCGCGAGGAGGAGGACCUGGGCGCGCGAGCAGGAGGGCCAGGGCGCGAGGAGGACCUGGGCGCGCGAGGAGGAGGGCCUGGGCGCGGCGACGGCAAGGCUGGGCGCGAGGAGGAGGACCAGGGCACGGCAACGGCCAGGCUGGGCGCGUGGAGGGGCCCGGCGGCGACAAGGCUGGGCGCAGCCAGGCGACGGGGACGAGCGGGUGACGACGGGGACCAGCUCCUGGACACAGCCAGGCGACGGCGACGGCAAGGCUGGGGGCGUGGAUACGGGGACGACGCGAGGAAGAAGACGACUGGUUCGAAAUUCAAAAUAAGGGCAUAAUGGUCUAUUUGCACUUUUGUCGGCUGUGUCUGAAAAGCCCUCAACGUCUUAUAAAUCUUUCCAGAGGGAGUAAGAAUUUGACUAAGAUCUCACGGAUGGCAACACUCAAUUAUCUCAUACCACAUAUCUCGAUACACGUCAAUCAGUCUACAUCGUAUUCAUGCCAUAGGCCAUAUAUAGCUAACAUGAGCAGAUAAGUAGGUGCGGCCGGGCGUGAGCACUCCCUUCUACCGUGCGUCGGCAUGCUCAUCCACGGUCACCCAGAUGAUGCUCAGCUUAGUGAGGAAGUGGCACACUGCCA